GAUGAACGCUGGCGGCGUGCCUAAUACAUGCAAGUCGAGCGAACAGACGAGGAGCUUGCUCCUCUGACGUUAGCGGCGGACGGGUGAGUAACACGUGGAUAACCUACCUAUAAGACUGGGAUAACUUCGGGAAACCGGAGCUAAUACCGGAUAAUAUAUAGAACCGCAUGGUUCAAUAGUGAAAGACGGUUUUGCUGUCACUUAUAGAUGGAUCCGCGCCGCAUUAGCUAGUUGGUAAGGUAACGGCUUACCAAGGCAACGAUGCGUAGCCGACCUGAGAGGGUGAUCGGCCACACUGGAACUGAGACACGGUCCAGACUCCUACGGGAGGCAGCAGUAGGGAAUCUUCCGCAAUGGGCGAAAGCCUGACGGAGCAACGCCGCGUGAGUGAUGAAGGUCUUCGGAUCGUAAAACUCUGUUAUUAGGGAAGAACAAAUGUGUAAGUAACUAUGCACGCCUUGACGGUACCUAAUCAGAAAGCCACGGCUAACUACGUG
rnacentral:rRNA from 1 species